rnacentral:lncRNA from 1 species
AUGCGUCGGCGGAGGUCUGAACGGCCGCUUCAUCCGGCGGCGUCUCCUGUAGUUCCCCUUCUCGAACAUGUCCUCGCAGGCCGGGUCGAGGGUCCAGUAAUUCCCCUUCCUCUCCCCGCCGCCCUCGCGCGGAACCUUGAUGAAGCACUCGUUCAGGCUCAGGUUGUGCCUGAUGCUGUUCUGCCAACCUUUCUUGUUUUUCUCGUAGAAGGGGAACUUGCUGAUGAUGUACUGGUAGAUGCCGGACAGCGUGAGCCGCUUCUCCGUGCUCUCGCGGAUGGCCAUGGCGAUGAGCGCGACGUACGAGUACGGCGGUUUCUGGGACGGGUCCGGCUUCUCGGUCACCUUCUCCUGGAGCGGCUCCUCUUUGGGCCGCUCCUUCUCCUUGGUCGCGUUCGUGUCGUGGAUCAUCAGGGCCAUUGCGUCAUCCUCCGAGUUUUGGUAAGUGGCCAUCAUCGCGCGCGCGCAACCCAAAAGCAAAACAAGUCCGGUGCAGAUGCAGACGCGGACGGAACGAAAACGUCUCACUGGCGCCGCGAACGCUCGACGGGCGGGACGGGUGAUGCGCUGCGGGACUUCAGGAGUGCACCGCGGAGUGGGAGCUGUCUCUUCCGAACGAGCGCGCGCAGAAAAAAGUAGUGGAAUUCCUGUCCUCGCGCACUUCCUGCCCCCUCGCGAGCUCCGGGACGAGGAUGUUUAUGAGAGCGCGUGCGGGUGGAAUGCGGCGGACGGAUCCACCGGGUCACAUCGGGACCGGAGGAGAACAACCACCGGGGCCUUCGGUCACAGUAGGUAGAGCACCAGGCAGCCAGAGGGAGAGGUCAUGUUUAAUUUAUUCUCAAUAUUAUUAUUAUGUUUUAAAAUAUGUGGAAUAUAAUAAGAACAUAAAUAUAAUGGCACCGAUACAAGCAUACAGCAAUACCGUCAACAGUAAUGAGAAUAAAGAUAAUAAUAAUCAUCUCAUUAUUAUUAGAGGUGUUGGUUUUUUAACAGUUUUCACUCAACUAUAUUUCAUUUCCAACUAGAAUUUAUUAUUAAAUAUCACUGUAGUUUUUUUUUAAUGUUUUCUUUCCUCUGGUUUAUAUUUGCAAAGAGCCACCGCUGAGAAGAGACAACAAGGAGAUGAACUGUAACUUUAUUUUGUCUGGUGUCCAGAAGUCCGGGAGACUCGCGUUGACAUAUCACCGUAUGAAUUUUUAUCUCAGGAGUGGGAGGAAGUCUCGUUGACGCGAAGGUGUUGCAGAUUAAUAUUGUGGAUAAUAAAAGUGGAAGGUCGUCUUUCUUUUUUUCCCCUUUUUUUUCAACCUCACAGUGAAAUUCAAAGAGUAUGACCAGCACAACUGACAACACAACUCAAAGACUAUGUAAUCCUUCUAUGCUCUUUCAUAGAUAACACUUUUUUGUCUCUAUAUGUGCCAUAUGGUAAACAUGAAGAUACAGGUGAGGGGUUUUUUUCUGCGUCAACUACAACCAUCAAAUGACUGGAGAGUACAGUUUUAUCUCGACCUGUGGUCCAUCUUUCCCUGGUCGUCCCAGUUUGGUCUCUUUUGGUCGGCCUCCGGCUUCAUUUGCAUGUAGCUUGCUUAAACAUCAACAAGAGUUGCUUCUCCUCAAUGGAAUCCUUAUGAGGCGUUGGGGAUGAGAUGGGAGAUGGAGGGAUGGAUGGAUGGAUGGAUGGAGGGGAAAAGAGGGAACGGCUGAAGGAGAAGAAGAAGAGGAAGAAGGAGGAUUUACCCUCAGCCCUCAUGCAGCGUCUCCUGCUUGGCUCUUGUUCCUCUCCGAAAAGAAGAGAGAGAGAUAGAGCAAAUAAACACUGACCACCAGAUCCAGGCCCCUCCUCCUCCCUCAUCUCCUUUACAUCCCCACCCGCAUGGAUUAAGGUUUAGCAGAGGGAUGAGGAUGGGGAGGCGGGGGGGGUACACACAGACAUAAACACAAAUGCACACAUGGUCUCACUUUUUGAGGUGUUGUGUUUAUGUGCAUGUGCCGGCCACGAGAGGAAGAAGUCCCGUCCAGGGGGUUUGCUCAGCGGGUGGUGUGUGUGUGUGUGUGUGUGUGUGUGUGUGUGUGUGUGUGUGUGUGUGUGUGUGUGUGUGUGUGUGUGUGUGUGUGUGUGUGUGUGUGUGUGUGUGUGUGUGUGUGUGUGUGUGUGUGUGUGUGUGUGUGUGUGUGUGUGUGUGUGUGACACCUCCUCACCUUGUACAGUCCAACGCCUCUCCGACAGACGCUCACGUCAUUGUGCGAGUGAACGCACACCCUCCCCAAGUCUGCACGAAAUCUUCAUGAUCGGCACUGUGGAGGAUGAUGUGUGUUUGUGGCGUUGACCACGGCGUGAUGACGCUGCCUAUCGGCCGCAGGAAGCAUAUGGGAAGCUCUGCGGCCUCCUACAGUCAAGAAGCCCUGAAUCCUGUUUUCUUAAUUAUUCUCACAUCACAAACUCUUCUGUGUAAAAAGUGUGACACAUCAGAACAAACUCAAACAAUAGAAUAACCCUUGCAUACGAUGGAAGGUUUUCUCACAUAUUUAAGGUUUGCUAUUGGACGAAAUUGAGGGGUAAUGGAAAUAUAGUUGUGCGUGCGUGCGUGCGUGCGUGCGCGUGCGUGCGUGUGCGUGCGCAGGCAGGCAUGCGGGUGAAUUCCAGUGUGGAUGUCAAAUGCAGUAAUCGUUUUCCUGUAAGUGGAAGAGGAGGAGGGAAAAGGAGAGGUGAGAUAAAGGUAGAACAGAACGACUGAAAAGGGAAAGUGAGAGAGAGAGAGAGAGAGAGAUGCAGAGCAUGAGGAACAGCCACAUUGUGUUCUCGCUAACCUUUACUGAGAGGUGAAGAGCUGCAGCCUCCUGCCAACAAGACUCUCUUUGAGGUUGUUUUUUUCUUUUCUUUUUUGUACCGCUGCCAGGGCUCAAAUGAUUCACAGGAGCAGACGUUCGCGUGCACUGUGUCCAAGCUGAGGGGGAACUUUUUCUCGAGUGUGUGUCUUCGUGCAUCUACUGUACGAGACAGGUCAACUGGGAUAGAGGGAGAAACAAAGCUCGGCAGGUGAAUGGAACGAAACGGCAACGUCCCCGAUCCAAGCUCACACCGAGUGAAAUUUCCCUCCUCGUAAAAAAUGUAAACUUCCUCAAAAGUCACCGACCUGAACCUUUUCCGCCCCCUUGAAACAUCAGCUCCGGCUCGUCAGAGCCGCGGCCAAGCUCGCACUUCAAAAAAAAGAAAGGGAAAAAUCCCCAAAGCAACCUCAGACCCCCACUUCCACGUCCUCAUCCCGGGCCGGGGGAUUAGAUUUCACUCCGAAUCAAAACAGGUCACUUCGUUAGGGGUAAUUACACAGGUAGCCUACCUCGCAGGGCAAACAAACAUGGCUGCCGGCUGACACCCCGAAGACAGAUCAAAGUGCGGGGCGGAGGAGGAGGAGGAGGAGAGCACGCAAACACACGGCGUGUGUGUGUGUGUGUGUGUGUGUGUGUGUGUGUGUGUGUGUGUGUGUGUGUGUGUGUGUGUGUGUGUGUGUGUGUGUGUGUGUGUGUGUGUGUGUGUGUGUGUGUGUGUGUGUGUGUGUGUGUGUGUGUAAUGUGCACAUCACUUUCUCUACAAGCACUUCCUUUUUUUUAAUGGGGGGGCGGGGGCGUUUCGGCAGCUGAAAGAUGGAGAGGAAUCAGAGGUGACUGUCGUGACCUUUACAUUUGAGCGGCGUGUGUGUGUGUGUGUGUGUGUGUGUGUGGUUAAUGGUGCAGAACAGCGGAGGCGUCCUGCCCGCACUGUGCCGAGGGGUGGGACUCCCUCCCUCCCUCCCUCCCGGUGGUCUGGUGUGUUUGCCCGGUGAGGACUGAUGUCGGACAUGGUGGAUGUGUUACCUGUCAAUGUGGCUCUUUUCUAUACGACAGGUGCGUUAUUAUAGCAUCCCUUAAGCCUCGUCCCACUUGCUCCUGUAGUUUUCACGUCAUCUUGGGUUUUUCAUGGACCACUAUAUAUCAUUUUUUGUCAGUCGCACUUCAUCACAGAACAGAUUAAGUGUUUUAAAAUAUCAACUCGGGCCCAUGCUUGGACGUGGCGGUUGUGUUGUUUUCUCUGUCUCUCUUUCUUGCACAACUCCCUUUGAACCGCAGUGUUGUCAGGGCAACCGGGCAAGGUUAUUCCUCCUCCCUCCUCCUCCUCCUCCAACAUGCCAGCCUUCCCCCCGUACACAAUAGAGCAGAGUGUAUGUGGGUUUGCAGUGAAUAAGGUAAGAGAUGUUAUCUCGCCGCCACACAGAGAGACGAACCAGCGAGAAGCCGGGCAGUCUGAACACCAGCUGUCCUUGUUCAUGGUCGUUCUAUACCUGUCGUCCAUCAGCGGCCUAUGUUCUUCUUCCGUUCCUCCUUCGUCCCUUGCUUAUUGAUUAAGAUGCAGCAGAAGCUGCAGUGGGAGGUGGCUCCCAUGCGUCACAGCUACAUGUCCACAUUGGUCCUAAAGGAGGAAAGAAAGUGUUUGGCAUCUGGACUGAGAUGAGACAGAGAGCAGCAGCACGAAAUAUAUUUGAUGAUCUAAGAUUUGGCCGCAUACGAUCGUGACUAAACAAAGCAAAACACAUCUUUUAAUGUCACGAAUCAUCACAAGCAAAACAGACAAUUUGGCAACUAAGUGUAGAAAGUUGAUUUUGA